UAGCAACAGCCAGCCACCAUGUUGGGAGAGUGUGGAGCAGAAGAGAGACACCAUACCUGAGUGCAGGACAGAGAGGUGUGACCACCAUGUGAAGGAGCUGGGAAAGCAUGGCAUGAGCACAGUGCAGUCUCUCAUAGGUGCCUUUCAUGAUGCCAAGCCUUAGCAUCUUUGCAUGACCUCUUCAGCCCUGGGAUGUCAACUGCAACUGAAGAUACACUUUCAUCAAUGGACUUCUGUGGCCUCAGCUGCUUUCCAGGACACUUUUACACCUUGAAAACCAGUACCAUCUAGGUGAUACUUGAUAAAUUACCAAGUCCAGCUUCAGCACGAGUAGAGCUUAAAAUCUUGGCUCUUACUGUGGUACAAGCCCAAAAUAAGAA